ACGCCCAUCGUCUAAUGGAUAGGACAUAGGUCUUCUAAACCUUAAGUAUAGGUUCAAAUCCUAUUGGGCGUA
rnacentral:tRNA from 1 species